UCUGUCGUGAUGUCGCUUUUAUAUUGCGCUCAUUAACGAAGGAAGAACUUCUGGGCCGGAUAUGAUGCGUCAUACGGGAGGAACUAAUUCAAGAGCAACCUACUGCAACACAACCUCGGUGAUCCCUUUGUUUGAUUUGCGGACGGACGUGAUUCGUAGUGUUGGAGGAUACCGUCUUCAAAUGCUUCCGCACAACAGUGAAAAGCAGUGCCGAAGUUCCUUCUCGACAACGCGCUCUGUGGCGAGGAGAAAUGCUUUGAAGUCCGGGCACAUCGGGAAGUCGGCACAUUGCCCCGAGACCAACGGACGCCCGGCAAUCGGCAGCGCGGCACAUCGCCACAAGACGGACGGACGCGUGUUUUUCGUGCCAAAGCCUCUUCCUCUGCAGAUGACGGUGAUAAUAUCUGUGAGCAGCACUGACCUAUGCCUGAGUGAAGAGAGAUAUAAGUAGGUGCAGAUUGGUGUAGGCUUUGUGCUGCCUUAUAACAGUGGCAGUAUAUUUAAAGUGUACAUCACAUGCCAAGUGUGCAAUAGAUGUGGGCCUGUGGACACCAGCAGAAGCUGGGGAAAGAUGCCUGACUGGGCAGGCCUGUCGCACAGUUUGGAUUCAACCAGAAAGCUUGCGGCAACACCAGAGAAAGUGGCUGCUGUGAAGAGUGCAGAUUGGUGUGGGAUUUGUGAUGCCACUCAACAAGUGGCAUUACAUAAUAAAGUGUACCUCCGAAGCCAAGUGCGCAUUAGGUCUGGCACAGCAUCUGUGGACACCAACACAAGCUGGGGAAAGAAGCCCGACUGGGCCGGCCAGCCGGACUAUCUCUGAUGCAUCUGGGAAGCUUCUGGCAACACCAGAGAAAGUGGCUGCUGUGAAGAACUGCCUGGAGAAGUACAUCGGGGAACAUCCGAUGGGGCCACCAGCACCACCUCCAGAGCACCACCUUGCUUCUGUAACGAAGCACCUUUGGAGCUUCACAGAAGCGGGCGCGAGGGCAAGCGAGUAUGGAAGACGUGAAUC
rnacentral:lncRNA from 1 species